rnacentral:rRNA from 1 species
CCUACGGGAGGCAGCAGUGGGGAAUAUUGCACAAUGGGCGCAAGCCUGAUGCAGCCAUGCCGCGUGUGUGAAGAAGGCCUUCGGGUUGUAAAGCACUUUCAGCGGGGAGGAAGGCGUUAAGGUUAAUAACCUUGUCGAUUGACGUUACCCGCAGAAGAAGCACCGGCUAACUCCGUGCCAGCAGCCGCGGUAAUACGGAGGGCGCAAGCGUUAAUCGGAAUUACUGGGCGUAAAGCGCACGCAGGCGGUCUGUCAAGUCGGAUGUGAAAUCCCCGGGCUCAACCUGGGAACUGCAUUCGAAACUGGCAGGCUAGAGUCUUGUAGAGGGGGGUAGAAUUCCAGGUGUAGCGGUGAAAUGCGUAGAGAUCUGGAGGAAUACCGGUGGCGAAGGCGGCCCCCUGGACAAAGACUGACGCUCAGGUGCGAAAGCGUGGGGAGCAAACAGGAUUAGAUACCCGAGUAGUC